rnacentral:snRNA from 1 species
GGAUGUGAGGGCGAUCUGGCUGCGACACCUGGCACUGAUCACUGAGGUUGAUGUGGCUGAUCUGGCUGGCUAGGCAGGUGUCCCCUUCCUCCCUCACGGCUCGCCACGUGCAUCCCUCUGAAAGCUGUGCCCCCGGUCAAAGACGACGACCAAUCCCCAGUAGAGGAGGACCCGUCUUCGGUCAAGGGUCUAUGAGUAGCUGUGUUCCCCUGCUAGAGCCUCCAAGCAAGCUCUCAAGAACCAGGUGGUGGAUUUCCUUUAAAGUAAUUUGACUAAUUCGUAAUUCAACAAGUCAUUAU